CACAAAAAUGCACAUAUUGUGAGCUCGAUGAGUAGGGCGGGACACGUGGUAUCCUGUCUGAAUAUGGGGGGACCAUCCUCCAAGGCUAAAUACUCCUGACUGACCGAUAGUGAACCAGUACCGUGAGGGAAAGGCGAAAAGAACCCCGGCGAGGGGAGUGAAAAAGAACCUGAAACCGUGUACGUACAAGCAGUGGGAGCCUCUUAAUGGGGUGACUGCGUACCUUUUGUAUAAUGGGUCAGCGACUUAUAUUCUGUAGCAAGGUUAACCGAAUAGGGGAGCCGAAGGGAAACCGAGUCUUAACUGGGCGUUAAGUUGCAGGGUAUAGACCCGAAACCCGGUGAUCUAGCCAUGAGCAGGUUGAAGGUUGGGUAACACUAACUGGAGGACCGAACCGACUAAUGUUGAAAAAUUAGCGGAUGACUUGUGGCUGGGGGUGAAAGGCCAAUCAAACCGGGAGAUAGCUGGUUCUCCCCGAAAGCUAUUUAGGUAGCGCCUCGUGAAUUCAUCUCCGGGGGUAGAGCACUGUUUCGGCAAGGGGGUCAUCCCGACUUACCAACCCGAUGCAAACUGCGAAUACCGGAGAAUGUUAUCACGGGAGACACACGGCGGGUGCUAACGUCCGUCGUGAAGAGGGAAACAACCCAGACCGCCAGCUAAGGUCCCAAAGUCAUGGUUAAGUGGGAAACGAUGUGGGAAGGCCCAGACAGCCAGGAUGUUGGCUUAGAAGCAGCCAUCAUUUAAAGAAAGCGUAAUAGCUCACUGGUCGAGUCGGCCUGCGCGGAAGAUGUAACGGGGCUAAACCAUGCACCGAAGCUGCGGCAGCGACACUAUGUGUUGUUGGGUAGGGGAGCGUUCUGUAAGCCUGUGAAGGUGGCCUGUGAGGGUUGCUGGAGGUAUCAGAAGUGCGAAUGCUGACAUAAGUAAC
rnacentral:rRNA from 1 species